UCUGUCCCUUCAGCAGGUCAGAGUUUGUCUGCAGUUUGGAUUGCAGUUGGAGGAGGCACCUUUCUCAUUCUCACUGUCUUCAUCUGCAUAUACAGGAUUAAGAAAAAAAUGAGUGAAACCAACCAUAAGGAGAACACAAAGGCUGCUGCUCCUAUUUCUGGAGCUGCUGCUGAUGUCGACCAUGCCACUGUUACACCCAGUAGAUCCAGAACU